rnacentral:rRNA from 1 species
UGGCUGCAGUGGGGAAUAUUGGACAAUGGGCGCAAGCCUGAUCCAGCCAUGCCGCGUGUGUGAAGAAGGCCCUAGGGUUGUAAAGCACUUUAAGUAGGGAAGAAAAAGGUUCGGUUAAUACCCGUGCCCUUGACGGUACCUGCAGAAUAAGCACCGGCUAACUCCGUGCCAGCAGCCGCGGUAAUACGGAGGGUGCAAGCGUUAAUCGGAAUUACUGGGCGUAAAGCGUGCGUAGGCGGUUACGUGUGUCAGAUGUGAAAGCCCUGGGCUCAACCUGGGAAUUGCUUUUGAAACUGCGUAACUAGAGUAUGGUAGAGGAAGAUGGAAUUCCACGUGUAGCGGUGAAAUGCGUAGAUAUGUGGAGGAACACCAAUGGCGAAGGCAGUCUUCUGGGCCAAUACUGACGCUGAGGCACGAAAGCGUGGGGAGCAAACAGGAUUAGAUACCCCUGUAGUC